CAAUGACGGAAAAGAAAGAAGAGAAGCAAAACCACGUAGACCUCGGUUCUGUGCUCUUUCCUGUUCUUUCAGUGCGCAAGUGGAGAAAGACUAAGACCUAGCACAUACUUGAUCUCCAGUACACAGGGUCUCCACUCCAACGCUGGCAGAGACUCACUCUCGGCCAGUGCCCAACCUUUCGAGCUCUUCCCAGGCCAGGUUUUAGAUCGCACUGCAAAUCACACUGCUAUUUUACUGCUGAUUCAUCUUAGUGCCCGGGGAGAGGGAACAUUUCCUUCAGUUUGAUAAAGAAAAAUCACAGUUGUGUGGAAGAUAUUUAAAUAUCUCUAUUUACCUCCCUCAGAAACAGCCUCCUAACUGCAAUAAGCUUUCAGAGUACUGGGGAAUACAGACGAAGGGUGAGCUGAAGUUUAUCUGUGCUUCAACUAAAAUCAGCCAGAAUGUCUGCCUGGUGCCAAUUAAAAGCAAAAUGGAAUUAAUUCUCUUGCCUGAUGGUCAAAAACAAGCUGUAAAAAUGCACAGAAUCGGCAUUUCAUUUUGGGUUUUAAAAUGGCACAUGCCUGCCAUUCACAAAGCCUGGGGUUGCAGACACCACUCCACGCACGGCAUGGAGUCACGGUGGCAGCGAGAGAGCGGUGCUAAUCGCUAUGGAGGCUUCCAGAGAACAGAAGCGAUCCUCACUGUCACAAUGCGACUUACGGUCUCCGUGGGGAGAAAACACGUACCACAGACACACACAGAGGUACCACUUCACAACGUUUUCACAGAGCAGCCUAGCAGGAGGGUGGGCAGAGAGGACGAGGAUCUGGGCAUGGUCAAGCGCCAUUCCAGCUGCUUCACACAGUGGACUUCCAUAUUUGUGUGCUCUGAAUCCAUUUUUAAAAAGAGUUGACCAACUGCAGACUUUGGGAUCCAUGAGGGUUCUGAGCCAAACACCACAGAUACCGAGCAAGACUGGUACGUGCAAGUAUGGAUGUUCUACAUACACAGAUCUCAUUCCCACCACAUUCCUGCAAUAUGGUUUUAGAAACAAUUCUACAGAGGGAGAAACAGGUUUGGGGAGAUGAGGCAAUGUACCCC
rnacentral:lncRNA from 1 species